rnacentral:lncRNA from 1 species
GAGGAUAAAGCAAAGCUCUAUCUAGUUCUUUACCAAAGUUGAAGGCAUUAAAGACUAAUAGCACUUUGAAGACAAUGAUAAAAGAUGCCUAAUGUUACAAAGGUGCCCCUCCCCCUACCACUUCCCGCCUCUCUCAGAAGUAAACACAAGGCAAGGGCUUCUCUGCGUUGUUUCUACCAUUAGUCCUGGGGUUGUGCUGAGAAGAGGCAGUCGAUUAUGUGGAGAAUUACAAAUUUUGUAUUAUUGUUUUUAAAACUUUAGCAUUUUUACGUUCUGCAUUGAAAGUACAGAAUUUGCCGAGGAUAAAAAGAAAAGAAAGGAUAAUUAAUGAAAUGUGGCCCCUGAGAUAGAAAGGAGGGCUCAGGGAACUGUUGAACAACUUUAUUUUGAUUCAUGGAGAUGAAAGAAAGUCAAGAUGAGUGUGGAUGCAGAUGGCAUUUUUGGUGCCUGGGGCAGGAGAUUGAAAAUUUUUCUCUUGAUUUCUGUAUUUUCCAUGAACUAGGAGGGGAGAUCAGGUAUUAAGGACCAAAAGGGUGAGAGCAUGGCAACGAUGUCCUGGGACAUUAAGAUUAAGCCUCGUCUUCCACUGUGCAACAGGAUGUCCAGGGUACACAAAGACGCAGCUGGGGUUAGAGUUUAUGAAUCUGCAGAGGCACCAAGUUUCGUACUUUCCAAUUCUAAAAGAAUCCCAUAUGAAAAAUGUUGGAUGAGGAAAAAUGUCCCCUGGGAGAAGUUCAAAUCUAGACAAAGGGAGAGGAAAGCACGGGGACCACGGGCAGGAAGCUGUAGCUGUGGAACGUCACAACGUGAUCAAGGUACAGGCUGCUCUGUGGAGUGCUGCUGUAUGGGCAGAUGGGGAAGGGACCCUGAAAUUGUGGAACAGUGAGUUUCCAGAAUUGAGUUUUCAGACAACAGGACAUCCUCUGUGAUUCACAUCCAUCACACAGAUAAGAUUUCUCUUUCCAUCUCACAGACUAAAAGAAAGCAAGCCUCCUUAAAGUCUGUGCUUUCUCCAAAGACACUCAAUUUACAUAGGAAGAUCCAGCACUAGAACUCUCAAUUGGCAGUGACAAAAUCACUGCUCAUGGGCACUGAAGAAUAGUUUCUAAAUAUUUGGAAGAGGGGGAGGCCGGAAGUGAACAAACUCAAUCCUAAUUGAGUUGCAUACUGUAGGGUGUUUUGAAAGUAGUUGCCUUUGUCCCUCCCACUACUGAACACAGCCUGCCAAUCCCAAAACCUUUAAAACUAACAUGGACUAGGCCAGGAAUAUACCUCAGUGGCACAAGUGCCUACCUGGCAAGCACAAUGUCCUGAGUUCGAUUCACAGUACCAAAACAAACAGAACAAAACAAAAUCCCAAAAAAUGACCUGGAUAGCUCCCUUCCCAUGGCAUCAAUCUCCAGGGCCUGUGCAGGACUUACAUCCACCUCUUUGUCAUCUACUUAGGUUGAGCCCUCACCAUCUAUACUAUAUUAGCUGCUACUACUGUCAUAACAAACUACUACAAACUUAGGCAUUUAAAACAACACAAGUUUAUUAUUUUAUAGUUCUGUAAGUGAUAAAUGAAGGUGUAAGUACAGCUGAGUUACUCUCUGGAAGCGCUCAGGGAAGACCCACUGCCUUGCUCACUUAGAUGACUGGCAGUUCUGCCGAUUCUUGUUGUUGUUGCCAGGGCCUGUUCCCAGUGUCUAGAGGUCUCCCACAGUCGGGCUCGUGGCCCAGGUGUGCCCCACCACACUUUUUUUUUUUUUUUGGGGGGGGGGGUUUCUCUGGUACCGGGAACCGAACUCACGACCUUGCACUUGCCAGGCAGGCGCUUUUGCCGCUGAGCUAAAUCCCCAGCCCCCCACCGCACUUUUAAAGGAUGACAACUAGGAGGAACACAAGUCUACACUAGGUAAAAGAAGACCUCUGUUUUUACUGCACUAAACUUGUGCUUAGUUUGGGUCCACUUAAAUAAUCCAGCACAAGGUCCCCCUCUCAGUGUCCUCAAUCGUACCUGCAAAGCGCCUUCUGCCAUGUGAUGUUAGCAUACUUACAGGUUCUGGGGACUAAGGAAUGGACAAAUUUCAGGGCAUCCUUAUUCUGCCUACGACAGUGUUUCACCCUGACGUAUUUCCAUAAUUUCACAAUUACCUGGCCCUGAACUCUUCUGCUGUUUCUAGCUUAGCUUUUCUAGCACAACAUUUGGUGUGUCUUCCAUACUUAAAAUCUGCUGGCUUCCUCCUAAUCCAGGGUCAAAUGAAUGAUUUUUAGUUCCCAAGGUAGAAAGUCCUUGGUGUCGGUCCUGCUCUUAUUUUAGCUUCAAUACAACCAUCACUCGUCUUCUCCAGUCCGUAAUGCUGGAAUCAUUUAUGGCUCUUCACUUGUACUCACCAUUAAGCUCCAAAGCCUUCUUCUAAACCCAGCUUAGACACCACCUCCUCCAGAAAAAUCCUCCCUGCAGCUAUCGAGGUUCUCUUAAGCACCUGGCGUAUGUUCCUAUCCCGUUUGUAGUAAACCCAAAUGUGCUGUGAUUUUGUCUCCUUCACUUACCCAACGUUUAUUUGCCUCUCAGCCAGACCUGCAAUUUCUAAAAUGUGUAACCUUCUUUCCGGGCUAUUUUAACUUCACUGUUAAGGACUGUGUCUAGAUGCCUGCCCCCAGGCCCCAUGCAGUUGUAGGGGGCGGGCUUUUUUCGGGGGUGGCUGAAUCUAGAGUGUGAUGGAUUCGUAGUGCAAUGCUGGGAUUAAUGUUAGGUGACUGCUGGAUCCAUCCAAUACUGGUAGGGUGCAUACAAUAUAAGGGACAGAAAGAGGCUUGUCUUGUUCUUCCUUGCUUGCUUUUGCUGUCUUCCACUGCCAUGAACGGUUACCCACUGCCAUGUGCGACCUGCCUUGGAGGAAGCCAACUAUGCACUGAAAGUUCCACAACUGUGAGGGGAAAUAAGCCUUUCGCCUUUUAACGUUGGGCGUUGGGUAUUUCACCUCAACGAGGAGAAAAGUAACUAAGACUUCCACUAUGCCUCUCUGUAUCUUUGUAGACUUGGGGUGCCUAUAAGACGUACACCGCAGGUUGUCGCGAAGGAUGAGGGCAAUGACAUGCGGAUACUGAAGUUGCUAGUAUUACCAGUCGUCUUAGGGCCCUGCACAGAAUUACCGUUUUGUAGGUGCUCAAGGAAGCCCCGAGCCCUUGAGUACGCUAGGGUCUGGGGUUGCUCCAGAGGAAGCAGCCGGAUGCCUCACAGGGCGGUCACUCCAGCUCGCGGCGGAGGGGGAGCAGCCAGCCUCACACUCGGGGAAACUGGGGGUCGGAGCGCGGGACGGCGGUAGGUGUACUUAGAGUCCCUAGUAAGUAAACGCGUACGACGGCGUCCGGGGACUUCCACGGAGCAUCACCGUCGCGGCGACAGACGGCCACAUUCGCCAGGCGCGUGCAGAUGUGCGCGACGCACGGGAGAGGAGGAGGGUGCCCGCUCGGAGCGUUACCUAGGUCACGCAGCGUCCUCGGCACCGG